rnacentral:lncRNA from 1 species
GAGACGAGCCCUUCAGGAUGCGGCAAGGCUCGUAGUCCGAGUGUGACUACAGACUGGAAACGAAGGGAUGAAAGAGCAACUUUCUUCAGGCUAUCGUCCCUCAGACUUCUCUUCUCCAGAUUGAACAAUCCGAAAUCCAUAUGCAGACCAAAUCAAGUGACAAUGAAGGGAAAAGGCAAGCUGGAGGAACGACGCGGGAGGAAAGUCACUAGCCCCUCGGAAUAUGGUUUCCACACCUUUAUGGCCCCAAUCUGCUUUAAGACGGAAGAACUUCUGAGGUUCUCUGACAACCGCAGCCAGCCCAAGCCACAUAAGUACAACAUUUAAGAGCUCCUUUUGGCCCCUGUUGUAUCAUGGCGCUCACCCUGGAACUGUCAAGACCCUAACAAUACUGAGAAGUUUCUGGCAAUGGGAAAUUCCUGGGAAUGAGAAGUUAAGUGUGGAACAGUGGGAAAAGCAUGACUUAGCUCUGGAGAGCCUUACUUGAAAUCCCACAUGCACAUCCCAGCUGUGUGGUGAUGGGGUGUCACUGACACUCACUGAGCCCGUGUCCCCGUCUCUGAAGGUCACUGGACAGAUACUUAUUUAGCGCGAGCUCUGUGCCCCUCUGAGCUGUUCUAGGUGCCUGGGAUGCAGUGUGGCCUCAUGGAGUGUUCUGUCGUGAUCUCAGGUUCUGACGGAAGGUUUCCUCGAAGAAUUGCUGUGAGAAUCUGAGCCCGUGGCAGGGAGUUUCUAGAACACCAUAGGAAGGCAUAA